rnacentral:rRNA from 1 species
UACGUAGGGAGCAAGGCGUUGUCCGGAAUCAUUGGGCGUAAAGCGCGCGUAGGCGGCCUCAUAAGUCCGUUGUGAAAGUCAAAGGCUCAACCGUUUGAAAGCCCGGAUGGAUACUGUGAGGCUAGAGUCCGGAAGAGGCGAGUGGAAUCCUGGUGUAGCGGUGGAAUGCGCAGAUAUCAGGAGGAACACCGAUGGCGAAGGCAGGUCUCUGGGCCAUUACUGACACUGAGAAGCGAAAAGCAUGGGGGAGCGAACAGG